UACAGAGGGUGCGAGCGUUAAUCGGAAUUACUGGGCUUAAAGCGCGUGUAGGCGGCUUUGCAAGUCGGGUGUGAAAUCCCCAGGCUUAACCUGGGAACUGCAUUCGAGACUGCAUUGCUAGAGUAUGGGAGAGGGAAGUGGAAUUUCCGGUGUAGCGGUGAAAUGCGUAGAUAUCGGAAGGAACAUCAGUGGCGAAAGCGACUUCCUGGACCAAUACUGACGCUCAUGUGCGAAAGCGUGGGGAGCAAACAGG
rnacentral:rRNA from 1 species